UACGGGGGGGGCAAGCGUUGUUCGGAAUUACUGGGCGUAAAGGGCUCGUAGGCGGCCAACUAAGUCCGACGUGAAAUCCCCAGGCUCAACCUGGGAACUGCGUCGGAUACUGGAUGGCUUGAAUUCGGGAGAGGGAUGCAGAAUUCCAGGUGUAGCGGUGAAAUGCGUAGAUAUCUGGAGGAACACCAGCGGCGAAGGCGGCGCUCUGGGCCGGUACUGACGCUGAGGAGCGAAAGCGUGGGGAUCAAACAGG
rnacentral:rRNA from 1 species